CUAGCUUGCUAGGUGGAUUAGUGGCGCACGGGUGAGUAACGCAUAGAUAACAUGCCCUUUAGUUUGGGAUAGCCACUAGAAAUGGUGAUUAAUACCAAAUACUACCCUACGGGGGAAAGAUUUAUCGCUAAAGGAUUGGUCUAUGUCCUAUCAGCUUGUUGGUGAGGUAAAGGCUCACCAAGGCGAUGACGGGUAUCCGGCCUGAGAGGGUGAACGGACACACUGGAACUGAGACACGGUCCAGACUCCUACGGGAGGCAGCAGUAGGGAAUAUUGCUCAAUGGGCGCAAGCCUGAAGCAGCAACGCCGCGUGGAGGAUGAAGGUUUUAGGAUUGUAAACUCCUUUUGUCAGAGAAGAUAAUGACGGUAUCUCACGAAUAAGCACUAA
rnacentral:rRNA from 1 species